rnacentral:lncRNA from 1 species
GGGAGUAGCGCCAGUCUCCGCGGCGUCCCACAUACACAGUCCGCAGUCGAGCUUGGCUAUACGACGCCGAGAGAGAUUGUGCCUGUGUAUAUGUGUGUAUGUGUGUGUAUAUACGCUGGAUAUUACAGUUAACGUGUAAGAAUUACGCAGUAGUGUGGCGGGAAAUUUACAAGUGCUUGAACGACAUUAUUUGUCAAGUCAAUUACGUGAAGUUGACGUGAAGAAUCAGGAAAGAAAAAUGAAGACAAAAUAUACAGGAUUUUAACACGCUACUAACUUUAGUUAAGUGGCUAAAGGCAUUCAAUCCCAGCAAAUGCAAGCAACUGAAGGUGGGAAAAGGAGAAUGGAGACCAGAGGAACAAUUUAACCUGAAGGGAGGCAGCAGGUAAAUUAGGAAUACAAAAGUACCCUUCUGAAUGCACAAUACUCCUAAUAUAUCACCGCCAGCUGGUCUAAACAGGCUAACAUAAGCAAAUUCACCACAAGUUGCUGCUGUGGAAGUGAUGGAAUCAGGAGAGCUGGAAGUGGAGUGGUUUGAAACAGAGACUGUUCCAAUGUUGUGGAACAAAGUGGUGCUGAAGACUGGUAUAUACACAGACUGGCCUGUAUAUUAGUGCUGACGACUGGUAUAGCCCCUCAUAAUAAUGUCAGCAUGAACCAAAUCAACCUGACACUAGAUAUACUAGAUUCCUUUUGUUAUGAUGAAAACCGAACUUGUAACAAAAUACUUUUAUAACAUGUUUCUAUUGAUGGGUCUUAUUAAUUUUUUUUUUUUUGUAAUUAUCAUUUGCAAAAAAAGUAUGAAUAGGUUGUUUUUGUCCGAGAUAAAAGCAGAAUUUAUGUUAAAUUAUUGGAAUACUAAAAUUUAUUUUUGUUUUUGAAAUAAAGUGGCCUAAAUUCCAUUAAUUAAGCGAAUAUUUUUUAAUGUUUAUAUUGAUAAAUUAGGGCCUCUUAGUACAGUUAGCUUUGAUCUCUACUCAAAUUCGCGGAUCCCAGGUUCGAUUCCCGGACGGGAGAAAACAAUUACGUAUUAGUGAUAUGACCUACAACUGAAUAUAUAAUGAUUAACAGUAAAUAUAUAGCUCUUGAAUUAGAACAUUCUCUGUAAUUAGCUGACAUUAUAAUUAUAAGGUGUGAAGGAUAGAUGAAAUUGUUAACGUAAUCAUCACCGGUGAAGUCUGAUAAAGACCUUUUG